rnacentral:lncRNA from 10 species
GCAGGAGCAGCUGUGCCCCUUAACAAGACGCUGUGUACAUGUGUGAAGAAGCUGAAGGAGGAGAUAGAGCAGGAAUUGGAAGAACAGCCAGUGACAACGUCACACAAAGCCAGCGGUCACUGCGACCAAAAUUUACGCCUUCCCUGCUGAGAAAAACAAGAACUGGGAGGAGAAAAACAGAUUUUUAAUAUUCAUCUCUGGAGGCUAUGAAGUUUACAAGACAU